GACGAACGCUGGCGGCGUGCUUAACACAUGCAAGUCGAGCGGUAAGGCCCUUUCGGGGGUACACGAGCGGCGAACGGGUGAGUAACACGUGGGUGACCUGCCCUCAGCUCUGGGAUAAGCCUGGGAAACCGGGUCUAAUACCGGAUAUGACUCCAUGACGCAUGUUGUGGGGUGGAAAGCCUUGUGCGGCUGAGGAUGGGCCCGCGGCCUAUCAGCUUGUUGGUGGGGUAAUGGCUACCAAGGCUUUGACGGGUAGCCGGCCUGAGAGGGUGUUCGGCCACACUGGGACUGAGACACGGCCCAGACUCCUACGGGAGGCAGCAGUGGGGAAUAUUGCGCAAUGGGCGUAAGCCUGACGCAGCGACGCCGCGUGGGGA
rnacentral:rRNA from 1 species